rnacentral:rRNA from 1 species
AGCGAACGCUGGCGGCAGGCCUAACACAUGCAAGUCGAACGACCCCUUCGGGGUUAGUGGCGCACGGGUGAGUAACCCGUGGGAACGUGCCUUUAGGUUCGGAAUAACUCAGGGAAACUUGUGCUAAUACCGAAUGUGCUCUUCGGGGGAAAGAUUUAUCGCCUUUAGAGGGGCCCGCGUCUGAUUAGCUAGUUGGUUGAGGAAAUGGCUCACCAAGGCGACGAUCCGUAGCUGGUCUGAGAGGAUGAUCAGCCACAUUGGGACUGAGACACGGCCCAGACUCCUACGGGAGGCAGCAGUGGGGAAUCUUGCGCAAUGGGCGAAAGCCUGACGCAGCCAUGCCGCGUGAAUGAUGAAGGUCUUAGGAUUGUAAAAUUCUUUCACCGGGGACGAUAAUGACGGUACCCGGAGAAGAAGCCCCGGCUAACUUCGUG